AUGAUAAGAAUAAACUGAACUGUAGAACAUCCUGUCCUCUGACUGACAAUGCCACCUACAUCUGGUACAAGAACGGGCAACCUAUUAGAGAAGACACUUCCAGCUUGAAUGUUCACAACUUCAGUGAUGAAGACCGUUACUCCUGUGGUGUUAAAGGCCAUGAGAACCUUCGAUCUCCUGCAGUGUGUAAAAAAACAUAUUGUGUGACCUACACAUCUCAGAGUAUCUGUGCCUUGAAGGGGUCAACAGUGGACCUGUCCAGCUCUUACCCAUAUCCCAGUUAUCAUGAUGUCAGGACAACCAUGUGGUAUUACUGGAAGAAUCGAAAUUGGAAAGAAAUCCCAAAUAAUAAUGCAGGUCGUGUGUUGUACCUUGGGAAUAAGGUAAAUGACUGUACCCUGAGAAUCACAGAUGUAAGCGAGGAGGACUCAACAUCUUAUUACUUCACAUUUAAACCUUCGGAUUUAACGAAAUAUGAAAAUGUCUCCCUGACUGUCACAGAUGUUGUGUUGGAGAUGGAGCCUACAUUUGUGUCAGAGGGGAACAGGGUCACUCUGACAUGUUCAACUAAAUGUACUCUGGACCCCAACCCAGAAUACAGUUGGUAUAAGAAUGGACAGCCUAUAGAAAACACCAACACCAACUCUACUGUCCAUAUCCUCUCAGUCAGCAGUGAAGAUGCAGGCAGAUUCUCCUGUGGUGUCAAAGGUCAUGAGACUCCUGAAAAGACU